UACUCCUACUCUAACCCCUAACCCUAACCGCAACCCUAACUCUAACCCUAACCCUAACCGAAUUAAUAAAAAAACCCGACUUUAGAAAAUCGAUAGGGCGGUUUGCUGGAUGGAAAAAAGUGCUAACCACGCCACUGAGCGUCAUGCCCUCACAAUUCAGUGCUCGGACUGUUUCACUGCUUUCUCAUUGUUCUGGAAUUCACAAUCCAGUAUUUGAAGUCUGAGUAAACUUAUCCAACAACGUGAGGCAAGUUAUGGACAAACAUUUGACAAAUGCUAAUAUGCUAUUGAAAAACAUUCACAUCACGUCAGAAUAUUCGUGAGAAUAUUUAAUUUUCUGCGGGUUGUAACCAUUGAACUAUAAAUAAACUGGAAGGCUAACUGCUAUGAUGAAGGCCUAUGAUUUGAUGAAGCCAAAAUAGUUUUUCUGAGUUAUGAGCAGAAAUACUUGACCCCAAACGUCGGGCUAUAUAUCAAAUUGAAGCUAUUGAAAAUUGCUAUUCGGUGUGGAAAUUUCAAGACUUCAGCGAAAAGAAAAAUCUUUAAAAAAUACAAAAAUAACUGCAAAACGGCAAAUUAUCGGUAAUUAUGUUUGUAGUUUUUCAAUAUUUCCCUUUUCGCUAAAGUCUUGAAAUUUUUACACCAAAUAGAGUUUUUCAAUAGCUUCAAUUUGAUAUAUAGCCCAACGUUCAGUGUUGAGUAUUUCUGCUCAUAACUCAGAAAAACUAAAAUGCACUGGCUUCAAUUUCCCCCCCUGAGUUAGCCUUCCAGUUUAUUUAUAGUUCAAUGGUUGUAACUUGAGCCGUUGUCACAGUGAUACGAACAUCCCCGUGUUUUGUGUAUCCCCACACUAAUAUCCCUAGGGAUAAAAGUACCCCCGGUGGGGAUACCUACAACACUAGAAGCGAAAGGUGCAAUAUUCAAAAUAUGAGCUCAUUUAUCUGUGCCUUUAUUUUCCGGUAUUAAGUAUUUACAUUUUUACAGUUAUUAAGUAAAUGUGUAUAGUGUGAUUGUACUUUUGUUGUAAG